GCCUUGGCAUGUAUGAAAUUUCUGCCGAUGCGGUUGCUUCGCAUGGAUAUGAGUCGCCAGAAACGAGCAUAGCCCGUAGCCGCAGGGGCGGUAAAUGUUGCGCUUGUUGCCCGGCAAUAACACCGACUCAUGAUAUGGUUCGAUCCGCGAUACCAUUCAUUUGAGCAUCGAAUGCCCGAUAUUCCAACCUNNNUUUUGCCUCAUUCCGAUGCGAUCAAAUCAUCGAAGCAAACGAAAACCGACUAUGAAUCCGACUGU
rnacentral:misc_RNA from 1 species